GCCUAUGGCCGUACCACCCUGAACACGCCCGAUCUCGUCUGAUCUCGGAAGCUAAGCAGGGUUGGGCCUGGUUAGUACUUGGAUGGGAGACCCCAUGGGAAUACCAGGUGUUGUAGGCU
rnacentral:rRNA from 1 species